CAACUGGGUUUUACAAAGUAACUUCCUCGUUUCGUUUUCACGGUGCAGUGUGCAGUGCUUCCCUCUUGCUGUGCCCCAGGGCCUCUGCCAGGCCCUCUGUUCUCGUCUGUCCCAUCCUCACCCUUGUCUGAAGCUGCUAGUGGUCUCCUUUCAUCUUCAUUGGGGGCUGCGGUGCUCCCCAUGCCUCCGUGAGGGCUUGUUCUCCUGGGCUACGGACACUGGGAGUGAGUGUGGCAAAGGCUGAAGGAAAAUGGUCCUUCCUGUUGCGGGACGGAGUGUGGCUCUGAGAGUCCCCUCACCCUGGGGCAGCCGGCAUCCAGUCUGUCCUUCCGAGGCCCAGCUGUCCAGGACUUCAGGGGUAACCGUCCACCCCAACACACAUUUCCUCAUUUCGCUUUCUUCCUGGCACGGCCACUUUGCCAUGAUGAAGACAUUUUCCUCAUGAGAAGCUCUGUCCCGCCCCUGGAGUUUUGUCAGGCUGAACUCCCACCACUUGAGACGCAACAGCUCUGGGCAAGGCCACCUCUCCAGGCUUGGUGUCGACCCAGAGGCUCAUCAGAAUUUCAUCCUGAAAAAUGAGGCAGGUCUAAUAUUUCAUUUCUCAAUUCAUUUUUCCAAGAGAAUAAAUAGAAAACAAAUUC